UUCCGGUUGAUCCUGCCGGACCCGACUGCUAUUUGGGUGAGAAUAAGCCAUGCGAGUCGAAUGGGAUACCUAAAAUUCCCAUGGCAAACUGCUCAGUAACACAUGAUCAACUUACCCUAUAGAGAAAAAUAACCUCGGGAAACUGAGGAUAAUAUUUCAUAGUUGAAUCGGCUUGGAAAAGUUUUUCAAUAAAAGGGAUAAGAAAAAUGGUUCUUAUCUGCUAUAGGAUAGGAUCGUGGACGAUUAUGGUUGUUGGUGAGAUAACGGCUCACCAAGCCGAUAAUCGAUAGGGGCCGUGAGAGCGGGAGCCCCGAGAUGGGUACUGAGACAACGACCCAGGCCUUACGAGGCGCAGCAGGCGCGGAACCUCCGCAAUACACGGAAGUGUGACGGGGUUACCCAAAGUGUUCAAUUCUGAACUGUGGUAGGUGAGUAAUGUUCCCUAUUAGAAAGGAGAGGGCAAGGCUGGUGCCAGCCGCCGCGGUAAAACCAGCUCUUCAAGUGGUCGGGAUAAUUAUUGGGCUUAAAGUGUCCGUAGCCGGUUUAGUAAGUUCCUGGUAAAAUCGGGUAGCUUAACUAUCCGUAUGCUAGGAAUACUGCUAUACUAGAGGGCGGGAGAGGUCUGAGGUACUACAGGGGUAGGGGUGAAAUCUUAUAAUCCUUGUAGGACCACCAGUGGCGAAGGCGUCAGACUGGAACGCGCCUGACGGUGAGGGACGAAAGCCAGGGGAGCGAACCGGAUUAGAUACCCGGGUAGUCCUGGCCGUAAACGAUGCAUACUAGGUGAUGGUACGGCCAUGAGCCGUAUCAGUGCCGUAGGGAAACCGUUAAGUGUGCCGCCUGGGAAGUACGGUCGCAAGGCUAAAACUUAAAGGAAUUGGCGGG
rnacentral:rRNA from 1 species